AUGUGUGUAUCCUAGAACCAAGGAGGAAUGGGCUUUCGGGAUAUCCAUUGUUUCAAUUUGGCUAUGUUUGCUCAGGCUUGGCGUCUUAUCAAGAAUCCGGAUUUUCUAUGUGCUACCAUUUUGAGAGUCAAAUACUAUCCCCACGGUGACUUGUUGAACACUGACCUAAAGAAGGGUUCUUCCUUUACCUGGCAAAGUAUUAUGGCAGGUGUGAGAUCCCUGAAGCACGGUCAUAUUUGGCGAGUGGGAAAUGGGUAGAAUAUUGACAUUUGAGAGGACGCAUGGAUUCCAAAUUGUGCAAACCGUAAAAUUGUGACCCCUAAGGGAGGCGAGUUACUACAGAAGGUAGCAGUUUUGAUUGAUCCAAUCCUAAAUAGUUGGGAUGAAGAUCUUCUCAGACAGACCCUAUGGCCUAUUGAUGUUCAAUGGGUGCUUGCAAUCACCAUAUCGCAACAUGAUAUGCCAGAUUUUGUAGCUUGGAAUUUCACAAAAAAUGGGAUUUUUUUGGUUAGGUCUACUUAUUUUGUGGAAUGGGACCACCAACAUGGUAACAAGUUACGACAUACCAACAGGAUGGGACGUACGAUGGUCAAUCCUAUUUGGGGGAGGCUUUGGAAGCUUUCUUGUCCAACAAAGGUUGAAAUAUUUAUUUGGCGUACACUUCAUGGCACUCUUUUGUGUCAUGUUAACCUAGCUAAUAGACAUGUGAAAGUCUUGCCUGAGUGUCCUACUUGGCCAUCUAGGCCAGAAGGCACAAAGCAUCUGUUGUUUCUAUGUGACAAAGCAAAAGAAGUCCGGAGAAGACUAGGGAUGGAUGAUAUUAUCGACAGAGCUUGUAAAAUAGACUAUGCGAGUGAGGCAGUCUUGGAAUAUUUACUUUCAUUACCAGAUUAG
rnacentral:rRNA from 1 species